ensembl:lncRNA
UCAAGAUGCAGCCCUCAGCAGAUAAAAUGUUGUGCAAAAUAACACCAAGUGAAGUAAGCUGAAAUUUCUUCAGUAAAACAGAAAUGAGCAGCAUAAUCAAAAUGUUCCAUGAAUCCAAACUUUCAUGAGUAAUGAAAGAGGGGAGUCUCACUGUGGGAUUGAAGGUGGAGGGAGAUUGCCCAUGGAGGUGUUUGGUUUAAAAAAACUGCAAAGUUUAUGAAAACUGCGAAGUUUUCAUAUUUCUGCUAAGUGUGAAUGGAUGGGAGUACUGUACACAGGGACUGGAAUUACUUUGGUGGAUGGUACAGAUGUUAACAUAAACAACAUCUCAGACAGUAUCAGGCUCAAAGACACAUCUAAGAAUAAAAAUCCUUAGGUUCCUUUCCUUCAGGAUUAACUUUUGACACAAAUUAGAGCAGAAAGAACAAGUUAUGAACAUGAAUAUAUGGUUUCUGAAAAAAUGUUCAAAGUUUUGCUUUUCUUUAGUGUUUAAAAUGAUAGCAAUAUAAGAAAUGCACAUUCAAGGACACUAAUAGUUCCUGGUUUUGCUUAGUAGGAGUACACAGUGAUUUAAUUUGGUGUAUCCUGAUAAUAAAAUGACAACCAAGCUGGCACAACAUGUCAUUAUAUUGUGGUUUCCACUGCAUGGUAAACUGGAAAAGCCAUUCAGCCUCUUCUGAAAAUAAAGUGAUGAAGGUAACAAACAUAUUUUCCUUAUUGACAGGACCAAUUGGUGAAUGACAGUGGCUCUCUGUUGGUAUACAAGGGUCAUCAAAAUGAAUGUUGAAUAUUCCUCUUUUGUUUAUGAACAGUGCAUCUCAACUAGAUCUAAGGACAGUGUUGAUCAGAGACAUAUAGACAUGAAGUUUCAACAUUUUAAGAAUGGCAAUCAGCAGAAAAAUCAGCAGCUGAAGCCUUUAUCUUCUCAGAGAUUUAAUGUGAUGUUCUCUACUAAACCUAUUGCAACCUUGAGAAGCACAGAAAUCAUAAUGGAAUAAAAUAUGAACCAGGAAGAAUUAUUGGAGAUAGUUUAUAUCUUAAGACAUUUCCAAAGUAUUGUUGACUUACAAUUUGACUAUUGGGUAUAAAAUGUUACUGCUGACUGAAAUUCUUCUUUUAACUUUAACAGUUGUGCCACUCCUCAUAGCUCAAAAUUUCUUCAUGAUUCUACUGGAUGAACCAACUGAUGCACACUUCAUCUCUUUUUAUGCCCACUGCUAAGAUACUUUUUUUCUAAAUGGAGAGACGCUUCGAUAGGGAACACGGUACAGAAAACUACAACAAAUGUCUUACUAUUUCUCCUUGUAUAAUAGGAGAAUUGAUAUGAUGAAAUCUCAGUUACCAGAAAGAAACAAAGGAUCGGGGGAGGUAAGAUGUUAAAAUGCCCUACAAAUAACUACACGUCAAAUGAAAUGCUCUGGAUUGAAGGCCUGAGGAAGUAGUCAACUAGUCUUUGAGAUGUCUUGUUAUUUUUAUUUUUUCAAGCAGACACUGCCUCUUCAGGUCUUUAAGUGACCUGUCUAAUCUCUGACAAUCUUCCCCACUAAACAGUGGUAAACGAAUGCUCCAUUUAAAUAUUUGGUUUGGAGAGGUACAGUGUAAAAUAGACAACUAGUGUCUACAUAGCUCAAGUACUGUAAAUAGCAGGUGUAGACUGCAGAGUGAAAGGACAUAGGACCAUUCCCAUCUCCUAAGCCAUUCCCAUAUGGCCACAGAGCAUGCAUGGAGCAAAGAUGAGAUAUUAACAAACACUGAGGAAGUUCACUGUCAAAAGUGUAGCAGGACAGAACAUUUUUCACUUUAACCUCUGUGCUGUUCAAAUGUAUAGUACAUCUGACCACCCUUCACAAGUCAGAUUCUCCAGAUGCUGCCACCUGCGAGUGUACAACAGCUCUGAACAAAUCAAGUUUGUGAACUUGAAUCUUGCUAGCACUGAAGUAUAGCAAGAAUGGGCCCUAAAUACAGGUUUUAGAAUUGCAGGUAAAAGGGCAACAUUUUGUGUAAUAUGUGAAAGCUACCAAGACCUUCAGAGUACACAAAUGACUCCAAAAAGAUCAGGGCCAGCAUUUAUAUUCACAGUGAGAUAUGUUCACGCUUUUUAAGCCUAUCCCUCCAUACUGUAGCAGAGCCACUAAGAGCUAUUAGCACAUAUAUGCGUGUACAUGUUUAUGCACACAUUUCUGGCUGGCAUCCAGAAGUUCCUUAUCCCCUUAUAUGUUUUCUAAUGUUUAUAUGUUAUAGGUCAUUAUGUUUUUUUCUCCAGGACAGGAGAGCUCACUGUAUCAAUGCUUUGUGCUCCUUUCUGUUGGGAAAGACUAGCACUUUUAAGGUUUUAUAUGAUACUCGGAGAAUAA